AUGAAAAAGAAAAUUCAUUUUCAUACACUUUGUAUAUUAAAAGAAUUUUGUCGAUACAUCUUUGCCAGUCAUCCGACUGUGCUGACUCGUAAGGAAUUAGAUGACUCACCCUAUAUAAAGAAGCUCCUGAAUGCUCUUUUUCUCUUUUAUUUAAGUUCUUUUCUUUUCUUUUCCUUUUUUGUCCUUUCUUUCUUUCUUUCUUUCUUUCUAAACGGGAGGGUAGACGAAUACGAAACCGGACAUCUCGCACACCCCUUUUUCUCGCUUCGAGUUAUUCCACCCUGACGCACACCACGAAACCGACCCGAAAAGAGAGGGAACAAGAUGCAGGAGAUAGAGAUGGUGGUAGUAGAGAUGUUGGUGGUGGUAGAGAAAGAGGAGGAAGAGAAGGAGGAGGAUACUCAAAAAGGUCUACGAACUCUCUCGCCGUUUUCAUCUUCCCGCUCUCUCCCGUCGAGAAAACGUGACGGAUUAAAAUACCGUCAUUUCAUCAUAUCUAAAAGAGAAUAAGAGACGAAUAGAGCAAACGUUUAUGGAGACGUCGCUCAAGAAGAAACCACGCGUGGUUAGAAGGACAAUGAAACAAACGUAAUGAAGAGGAAAAGACACCGUACGAGAAACCUCGAAAUGGAGUCGACCACCAACCCAACCAAUCCCACCAACCAACAACCGGCCCCGGCUCAUGUCAGUGAAAGUAAUUUCCACAGAACGAUUUCAUUAAACGGAGAUUUAAUUUCGAUUAAUUUCAACGAUAGAGAAGAUCGAAUAACGAAGACUCUCAACCACCCACCCACCCCCUUUGGCUAUAACUAAAUUUGGUUUGUUUGGGCCGUUAUUUACUGUCGUUUUUCUCUCAGACGC